UACGAAGGGGGCUAGCGUUGCUCGGAAUCACUGGGCGUAAAGGGUGCGUAGGCGGGUCUUUAAGUCAGGGGUGAAAUCCUGGAGCUCAACUCCAGAACUGCCUUUGAUACUGAAGAUCUUGAGUUCGGGAGAGGUGAGUGGAACUGCGAGUGUAGAGGUGAAAUUCGUAGAUAUUCGGAAGAACACCAGUGGCGAAGGCGGCUCACUGGCCCGGUACUGACGCUCAUGUGCGAAAGCGUGGGGAGCAAACAGG
rnacentral:rRNA from 1 species